rnacentral:rRNA from 1 species
UACGUAGGGGGCAAGCGUUGUCCGGAAUCAUUGGGCGUAAAGAGCGUGUAGGCGGUCCGGUAAGUCGGCUGUGAAAGUCCAGGGCUCAACCCUGGGAUGCCGGUCGAUACUGCCGGACUAGAGUUCGGAAGAGGCGAGUGGAAUUCCCGGUGUAGCGGUGAAAUGCGCAGAUAUCGGGAGGAACACCAACGGCGAAGGCAGCUCGCUAGGACGGUACUGACGCUGAGACGCGAAAGCGUGGGGAGCGAACAGG